GAUGAAAAAAGGACUGCAGAGGUGGGUCUCCUGCACUGCAGACCUCUGAGGGCAGAGCACAGGCUGUCCUUGUAGAUCAGCCAUUGUGUGGCUAUGAACAGCUUGCACUCACCUUCCGUGCAGGGGACCAGCAUGCUGAAGAACACGGAACUGUUUUGUUGGGGAUUGGCAGAGGAGUGGCCUGUAUGGAGUUUGGUCUCCUGAGAUAGUACAGGCAGACCAGCUUACUUUCACCUCUUGAGCAAGUGAGAGACAUAGGAAGAAAAAGCUUCCUCAAGAUAACAGCAGAAGCUUGAGUACGUGCACUCAGUGGAUCAAAACAUGAAGCUUAGCUGACAGCAUUUCCUUCUCCAUCCACAACACUGGUAUCCUCUGCCUGAUAUUUCCAAGGAGGAACAGUUCUCUGGUGGGAACUUCAAGAGCUCUGAGCAGGGGGAUCACCCCUUUCCUCAGUCUGCCACUGCAGCCCAGCCAGCCUGCACACUGUGGGGCACUGCCCGUGCCCAUUGCUGCCCUGCCCAGACUUGCUGAGGGUGCACUGUGUCCCACUGCCCAGGCCACUGGGAAGGGUGCUCUGUUCCAGGAGCUUCCUCUGAGAAAUGUCACGCAAGACUUGUUGCUAGCCAGGCUGUGAGUUUCUCCUGAGCAUCUCUUGGAGUUUCUCAGCCUACCCUGUGGUUCACAAAGCCUGUCCACAUUUUUAGUUUGUUUGCAAGAGUUCUGCACAUCAAAAACCUUGAAAAUUUCAAGGUAUACUUUACUAUUCUUAAUCUUGACAUUUGUUCUUUUAUACAUUUUUACUUUUAAAAACACCUGAAUACUUAAAAAUGCAAAUUAAGCUUACUUGGGAAAAUAAAAAAUAAAAGCUAGUUCA
rnacentral:lncRNA from 1 species